UUUAAAUGAUGACUAGCCAUGCUAAUACUGAGAGAUCUUCAGGAUCUCGCUGAGUUGAAAUUUUCUAAACGCACUGAUGGAA